CCUACGGGUGGCUGCAGUAAGGAAUAUUGGACAAUGGGCGAGAGCCUGAUCCAGCCAUGCCGCGUGGAGGAUGAAGGUCCUCUGGAUUGUAAACUUCUUUUAUCAGGGGCGAAAAAAGGGAAUUCUUUCUCACUUGACGGUACCUGAUGAAUAAGCACCGGCUAACUCCGUGCCAGCAGCCGCGGUAAUACGGAGGGUGCAAGCGUUAUCCGGAUUCACUGGGUUUAAAGGGUGCGUAGGCGGGUAUGUAAGUCAGUGGUGAAAUCCCCGAGCUU
rnacentral:rRNA from 1 species